UACGUAGGGCGCAAGCGUAUCCGGAAUUAUUGGGCGUAAAGAGCUCGUAGGCGGUUUGUCGCGUCUGCCGUGAAAAUCCGGGGCUCAACCCCGGACUUGCAGUGGGUACGGGCAGACUAGAGUGUGGUAGGGGAGACUGGAAUUCCCGGUGUAGCGGUGAAAUGCGCAGAUAUCUGGAGGAACACCGGUGGCGAAGGCGGCAUCCUGGACCGACACUGACGCUGAGGAGCGAAAGCCAGGGAGCAAACGGGAUUAAGAAAC
rnacentral:rRNA from 1 species